ACAGUGACGGACUGCUAACUGACCCUUGCGUGUAUACGUCUGGGAGAGGCGCGGAUCGUUGUGUGUGUAAUGCGUGUAUGCAUCCUGGUGGUGCCAGCUGGGUGAGUGGCUCUUGCCUUUCACACCGGAGUGGAUAAAGAGGAGAGGAUAAGCCAUUAGGAGAAGAGGUCAAAGCAGAAAAGGAAGCUUUGAGGAGGGAGUUGUGAGGGUUGACUGCAGGCACCCCCUUGAUUCACAUAAUUGACCUUUGAAGCCCGAACAAGCUAAGGGGACACUCGAUACGCAAGUACGUCAUAACCCACGACGCAGUAAGGAGCACCCAAGGACGUCCGCUGAAGCAAAGAUACCAUGGAGGCGAGGAGGCAAUAUAGGACGCGGUGACCAAACGGAGUUGAAGUGGCUCUGGUUUAAGUUCUUUUUGGCGCGUGAUUGCCAGUGCCCUGAAUAGCGAUCAGUCAGAUGGCGUUGGGAGUGAAGCAGCAACAAGGGUUCUUCAAAGAAACGCAUGUCCAUGUGGUAAUAAAGAUAUGAUAUAUAAUGUGACCCGAUCGCUUUCAUACAGCAUAAUGACAGUAUUCCUGGGUAGUGUUGUGUGGUGGUCAUGGUGUUGAGGUUGUUAUUGUGAAUAUGUUUUGAUGAGUGGUGGUGGAAUGCAAUUGUUAUUAUUGUUACUAUGCUGAUAGUCUUCUGUAUAGGUGUCGGCGUUCAGGGACCUACACGAACGCACGCACGCUGGCACGCACACAUGCUGGCACACACGCACGCACGCACGCAUAUUUAAAGGGAAAAGCACCUGACAAAUAUAUAAACAAAGACAUAACUGGGUGAGUGUAGACGCUGUACUAUAACAACCAAGUAAAAGUAACGUAAAAACAAGAUUUCUAACCUACCACAGAUCACCUUAACCUAACCUAACCUGAACUAAAUUAAAAGGAAAUCCAUGAUCUGACAUAACAUAAGAUAAAAGGAGGUCACUAACCUAACCUAAUCUAACCUAACGAAAUAACUACAUAAACGUAUGAGUCAGGGAAUGUUCAUAUACCACUAG